CCUACGGGGGGCAGCAGUGGGGAAUAUUGCGCAAUGGGCGAAAGCCUGACGCAGCGACGCCGCGUGAGGGAUGAAGGUCUUCGGAUCGUAAACCUCUUUCAGCAGGGAAGAACGGUCACUGUGCUAAUCAGCAGUGAAUUGACGGUACCUGCAAAGGAAGCACCGGCUAACUCCGUGACAGCAGCCGCGGUAAUACGGAGGGUGCGAGCGUUAAUCGGAAUUACUGGGCGUGAAGCGCUCGUAGGCGGUAUGUCAAGUCAAGGGUGAAAUCCCCGAGCUCCACGUUGGAACAGCCUUUGAAACUGGUAAACUGGAGUGUGUGAGAGGAUAGUGGAAUUCCAGGUGUAGGAGUGAAAUGCGUAGAUAUCUGGAGGAACAUCAGUGGCGAAGGCGACUAUCUGGCACAUAACUGACGCUGAGGAGCGAAAGCGUGGGUAGCAAACAGGAUUAGAUACCCUAGUAGUC
rnacentral:rRNA from 1 species